GCGCAGGCACGCAAAUUACCCAAUCCCAGCACACGGGGGAGGUAGUGACGAUACUUACUGAUGCGGGUCAUUCUUCGGAAUACUCGCAAUCGGAAUGGCUAUUUCUUAAAUACCCUAUCGAGAACCUACUGGAGGGCAAGCCUGGUGCCAGCAGCCGCGGUAAUUCCAGCUCCAGUGGCGUAUGCCAAUGUUGCUGCGGUUAAAAGGCUCGCAGUUGAAUGUCAGUUAUAAUACGCGCAGAGAUGCCGGGACGUUGUUCGGGUGAAGCACGUCGCGAGACUGCUCGUUCGUUCCGUCCCUUGAGCGCAUUUCUCGCAAUCUAACAAUGAUUGUCGGGUGGCGUCGUUGUUGAGUGUUAAUCGUGUUUCGGCACGUGCUCUCUUCGACAAGGCUCGGCAGUUGACACCUUGAGUAAAUCAGAGUGCUUAAAGCAGUCGUUAUAAAAGCGGCUGCGUUUCUAGUGCCCUUCGCGGGUGCCAGUACGCAUGUCUCUGCGGCGUCAAACCCGUUUGGACAUUGUCUUUGCUUUGCAUGGUACGUCGGAAGACGCCGCGUAAGUUGGUUGCGCUUACGGUUACGACACACAGCUUUAGUGUGCGCGUGCACCAACGAGCGCGGAAUGAUACGAAAGGGAUGGUUCGAAGGCAUUGGUAUUGCGGGGCGAGAGGUGAAAUUCUAUGACCCCCGCAAGACUACCCGAAGCGAAAGCGUCUGCCUAGGACGUCUUCAUUAAUCAUGAACGAAAGUUGAAGGAUCGAAGGCGAUCAGAUACCGCCCUAGUUUUAACCGUAAACUAUACCAACCAUCAAUCCGUCGGAGCGUUCCCUUACUCCCGUGUCGGCGACUUCGCAGUCCCGGUGCGUGGACAAGUGUAAGCUCGAUGGGCAGCUUCUUUCGGACGGAAAACCAGAGUGUUUCGGUUCCGGGGGGAGUCUGGUUGCAAAGCUGAAACUUAAAGGAAUUGACGGAAAGGCACCACCAGGCGUGGAGCUUGCGGCUCAAUUUGACUCAACACGGGAAAUCUCACCAGACCCGAACAUCUUUUAUGACUGACAGACUGAAAGCUCUUUCUCGAUAAAGUGGAUGGUGGUGCAUGGCCGUUCUUAGUUGGUGGAGUGAUCUGUCUGGUUAAUUCCGAUAACGAACGAGACUCUCCCCUGCUAACGAACUUGUGUUCUUCUAGACGGUGCGAUUCGAAUCAAGGGUAUGUACUAGCGAUAGUUUACCCGGACGCUGUCCGCCGAUCCUUGGCGCGUCGGGAGGGAAUUCGGCCGAGUUGCUCGUUUGUUGCGAGUGCGUGCGCCGUUGUUCGAGUUCCGCUCGUUCUGGCGUGUGUGUCGUGUCUCGUGGCUGCGGUGUUUACGAAUCCAGUCCCCCUCGUUCGCGGCUUGGAGUACGUUUCUUCUUAGAGGGAUUGACGACUCGCAAAAGUCGUAAGAGACAGAGAGCAAUAACAGGUCUGUGAUGCCCUUAGAUGUUCUGGGCUGCACGCGUGUUACAAUGCCGGGAUCAACGGGUUGUUACGCAUUAUGCGUCCUUCUCCGAAAGGAGCGGGUAAACCUUUGAAACCCCUUACGCGUGAGAGGUAUUAUAUCUUCUUUCCGCAUUACGGCUUGCUUGGGACUGGGGAUUGCAACUAUUCCCCACGAACGAGGAAUGCCUUGUAGUGGCGAGUCACAGAGCUCGCUGCGACUCUGUCCCUGCCCUUUGUACACACCGCCCGUCGCUACUACCGAUUGAGUGUACCAGUGAGAUUCUUGGAUUGACGAACCGAAUUCUAACUCGCAAGGGUGGGGCUCGGCGUACGACAUCUAAGAGACUCGAACUGGUGCACUAGAAGAA
rnacentral:rRNA from 1 species